AGAGUGCCCUGGUGCUGCUGAAAUCCAUGGCAGAACAGGCAACAGCACACAGGAACCUGACUCGUGCAACACUGCUAGAAGGAGGGAACUGCAUCUCUUCUGAGGAUUUUCUCAGGUUUGGAGAGCUGUUGGAAUGUUGGCUGCAGACAGUACAUUUGUAUGCAGGCAGUAGGCAUUAAUUCAAAACACAAAGAGUGCAGAGAAGGCAACCAGCUGCCUACAGCUCAGUGUUACGUGUGUCCAACAUCACUGUGCUGCAGCACAGCUGUGUGUGGGGAAUAUUCCUUACAAGGCAGCAGUUUUCCAGCACUGCUUUUUAAACCUCAUGACAGCAACACAACGCUGCUUCUACUGCACAUCUGCUUCUACAGACCACAGCCCUUCUCUGCAGUGCCCUCAGACAACGCUGACUUGGCUAGCUGAAAGAAAACCCUGUCCUGCUGCCCUUCUAUAGUGGGUACACCUGGCAGAACCGGAGUGCUGCAAGAUAAGUCAGAAAGUGGGCAAAUGUGUGCAGAAUGUGUGAAAUCUGUCUGAAGGUCAAGAAGAGAAGAGAAGCUAAGGUGGAGGACCCAGACCGUGGAGAGCAUAAAGGAUUUGUCCAAAGAACCAGCAAGUCAUUUUAAAACAAGGAGUCCUCAUCUACCUAGCCACCAGACAUUCACCUUGUCCUGCAAACUUCCAGCUGGAUGAACUGCUGCCUGACAGAAAUAUGUGUGUAUACAAAUAUUCCCAGAUAUGUUUCCAAAAGAAGAAAAGAAAGAGCAGACCUUUACCUCUUUCUGCUGAGCCUGCACAGAGGGAAGAGAAAUCAGGAUGUGAAUCUGCUCUGAAGGAUCUCUAGAGCUUUCCCUGGAAGUCAGCUUCACAGGAAGAAACAGCUGAAUGGAUGUGAGGGAAAAAGAGACAUGUGCUUGGAUGAUAGUGAGUGAAACUGAAAAGUAAACAGCCUGAACUAUGGGAGGAUCCUCAGAUGGUGCUUACUGCUCCCAGCCAGCUUGCUCUCUUUUGUGAUGGUCUGAAAGAAUCUCAAGGCAUGACCUCCUGGGUAAAAUUAAGAACUUGAUUAAUUGAAAAAAUUCAUGAAUCAUGAUUUUCCCCACCAGUUUUGUGAUGUGUGUUGGCUGGAUUCUGAAGCCUUCUGUAAAGUAAAUCACAGCAAAUAGGGGGGAAGGGGGCAGGAGGAUGCUGCUGGCCCAAGCAGAUGACAAGGCUGCAUUUUGUACUAGAAGACCAAAUAUCUAUGUGUGUACAAGAGCUCACAAGCCCAGCAGUGAUGUGGGGCAGGGAAAAUGCCUUUUAAUGGGCUUUCCUUUCCCAAGUGUGCCAUGAGCCCUGUGAGAGAAGCAGGCAGCCCUGCUCCUUCAUGCUGCACUUCUGUGUGGCUGAAUAAAGGCAAAUCUUCUCACAGGCACAUGGUGUCCUGAGGACUUAUCACAGGAAAGCUUGGAAAAGGUUUGUACCCAGUUUUGCUUUCUGGAAGGGUGAAGGAUUUGGUCAAUUCAAAUCUCCUGAAUUGUUUUUCUGGACACCUGGGUUUCCUGGUGGAACCCUGUCUGUCUGUCUGUCUGGCAGAGAGGCUGCAGAGGAAACAGGUGUGUGUGCAUGAAUCACCUGCAGCACAAAGCCAAGGAAGUGGUGCCUGCCUUCUCCCCACAGCCACACAGAGCCCUGCUGGCUCUCCAGGUGGCCACAAACUCAUGUUCAAAGCUACAAGGAGUGGGGAGCAGGCUGGGGAGUUCCCUGAGCACUGAAGUCCUGCCUAACACAGCACUUUCCCCACUUAGCUUCCCAUUUAAUUUAAUUUGAGUUCUCUCUUGGUGCUCAUACAUAGUGUGGUGCCCUGCUCCAUAUAAAUCCAGGCACUGCAUUUUCACUGGGCCCUUUGCAUGCUAGAGCUUCUUGUUUUUAAUGCUAAGUGAAGUAAAAGAUGGAGUAUGACCACAGGACACCUAAGAGAGAACUAUCCCCAAAAUUGCUACCUGUACAGAAAUGUUUCAUUGGUGGGUUAAUGUCUUUAAUCUCUUUGAUUUAGUGAUUGACAGAUGUUGUUAAAAUGAGCUUGCACUGUGGAAAAACCCCUGUAGGAGCUCAUUCAGAGACCUGGGGAUAAAAUCUGACCAGUAAGUGUUGUCAGACAGGAUUGUGUUUGCUUGCUGAUGUUUAUUGCUUUCCUUGAAAUGGUGGAAAAGGAAGAAAUAUUUAAACUUGAUUGAAACAAGCUGAAGUACCUAUAAAUUCAUUGGUUUUGUUCUGAAUCUUGCAGUUCUGUUUGGCUUCUUGGUGAGAAGUGUGAAAUUUAUUUUCCUUAAAAACUACCCCUCAGGUUCAAUUGGGAUAUGAAAAAAUAGCUAUCAAAAUAAUGAGUAAUUUUUUUCCUGGUUGGGGGUGUUCAUCAUCUUUCUGUGUGUGAGAAACAGAGGUGCCUAAGCAGUGCACAUUAGUAGGAUAUAUGGGUUUUUGCAUGUGAUACCCAUGUGAUGUGGCAUAGGGACUCCCUAUAAUUAUCCUCUGCCUGUUGAAGGAGAGCAGUAAAUUGGUUCUUUCAGCCCAAGAGGAACCCAAGCUGGUUUUCCUGACAGUGCUCUCAGUGUUUAGGAGUGCUGUCACCAAACCAGAGGCAGCACAGGAUGUGGCCACUGAAAGAGCACUUCAGAAAAUGAGUGGCAGUGGUUAAAGGCAAGGCUGCAAAGAACAGAGAAAUGGGAAUCCUUGAUGUUGU